AUACGUAGGUGGCAAGCGUUGUCCGGAAUUAUUGGGCGUAAAGCGCGCGCAGGCGGUCCUUUAAGUCUGAUGUGAAAGCCCACGGCUCAACCGUGGAGGGUCAUUGGAAACUGGAGGACUUGAGUGCAGAAGAGGAAAGUGGAAUUCCAAGUGUAGCGGUGAAAUGCGUAGAGUUUUGGAGGAACACCAGUGGCGAAGGCGACUUUCUGGUCUGUAACUGACGCUGAGGCGCGAAAGCGUGGGGAGCAAACAGGAUUAGAUACCCUGGUAGUCCACGCCGUAAACGAUGAGUGCUAAGUGUUAGGGGGUUUCCGCCCCUUAGUGCUGCAGCUAACGCAUUAAGCACUCCGCCUGGGGAGUACGGUCGCAAGACUGAAACUCAAAUGAAUUGGCGGGG
rnacentral:rRNA from 1 species